rnacentral:rRNA from 1 species
GAUGAACGCUAGCUACAGGCUUAACACAUGCAAGUCGAGGGACCGGCGCACGGGUGAGUAACACGUAUCCAACCUACCCUUUACUCGGGGAUAGACUUUCGAAAGAAAGAUUAAUACCCGAUGUAAAGGAUGGGGAUGCGUUCCAUUAGGGUGGUGGUGAGGUAACGGCUCACCAAGCCUUCGAUGGAUAGGGGUUCUGAGAGGAAGGGCCCCCACAAUGGAACUGAGACACGGUCCAAACUCCGACGGGAGGCAGCAGUGAGGAGUAUUGGGCAAUGGGCGUUAGCCGGAACCAGCCAAGUAUCGGGAAGGAUGAAGGCUUAUGGGUCGUAAACUUCUUUUAUAUAAGAAGAUGUAUUAUAUGAAUAAGGACCGGCUAACUCCGUGCCAGCAGCCGCGGUAAUAC